rnacentral:lncRNA from 1 species
UUUUUUUAUUUUUGAAGUAUUAAAAACACUUAAAAAAAAACAAAACUAAAAGCACUCUUAAAUUAUAAAUAUUGUCAAACACGCUUUUAACUCCAAUAUGAAUUUAUAUCAUAUUAAAUGGAGCGAUCAUCCGUAGAUAAAUGGAACUACUGGGUUCUCAGCAGCAUAACAUAACUGGAGAGAAAUUCAAGAAACGCCAUUGCCCACUGGUGUCAUGACUCACAGAUAUUACAAUAGAAAUUCAGACCAUUUGGAAUCACAUCUGGGAAAUCUUCCAAAUAGAGAUAGAAUAGAGAGAUUAGAGUUCAGGCAAGUUAUGACCAUUCAAGCUUUGGCGAUGGGCAGCGCCUUGAAGAGGUGGCGCAUACAGACCUGCAGAAGAUACCACAGUAUGCAUCUUCUAGCCGAGCAAAGAGCAAGAGAUAAGAGCUGACGGCAAUGGUAUAGACAAGGCGAUAUCAGAAAAAUGGCAGGUGAAGCAGUGGUUGCUUUCAAUGUCUCUCAGCUGCCAAUUUGUGGGGUUGAACAAGAAAACUGCAACAACCUAAGCUAUGUCAAAAUUCACAGAACAGCGGGUUUAGGGGCGGAUGCUUGUACAAGAAGAUGUGGUUCUCA